GACAGAGGAUGCAAGCGUUAUCCGGAUUUAUUGGGCGUAAAGCGUCUGUAGGUGGCUUUUUAAGUCUGCCGUCAAAUCCCAGGGCUUAACCCUGGACAGGCGGUGGAAACUACCAAGCUGGAGUACGGUAGGGGCAGAGGGAAUUUCCGGUGGAGCGGUGAAAUGCGUAGAGAUCGGAAAGAACACCAACGGCGAAGGCACUCUGCUGGGCCGACACUGACACUGAGAGACGAAAGCUAGGGGAGCAAAUGGG
rnacentral:rRNA from 1 species